CUCGUAGGCGGUUCGUCGCGUCCGGUGUGAAAGUCCAUCGCUUAACGGUGGAUCCGCGCCGGGUACGGGCGGGCUUGAGUGCGGUAGGGGAGACUGGAAUUCCCGGUGUAACGGUGGAAUGUGUAGAUAUCGGGAAGAACACCAAAUGGCGAAGGCAGGUCUCUGGGCCGUCACUGACGCUGAGGAGCGAAAGCGUGGGGAGCGAACA
rnacentral:rRNA from 1 species